GCUUCCGUGGCUCAGUUGGUAGAGCAAUUGAUUCGUAAUCAAUAGGUCGCCGGUUCAAGUCCGGCCGGGAGCU
rnacentral:tRNA from 2 species